GCAUAUCAAUAAGCGGAGGAAAAGAAACCAACAGGGAUUGCCCUAGUAACGGCGAGUGAAGCGGCAACAGCUCAAAUUUGAAAUCUGGCUACUUCGUAGUCCGAGUUGUAAUUUGUAGAGGAUGCUUUUGGUGAAGUGCUUUCUGAGUUCCCUGGAACGGGACGCCAGAGAGGGUGAGAGCCCCGUACAGUUAGCAACUGAUCCUUUGUAUAGCUCCUUCGACGAGUCGAGUAGUUUGGGAAUGCUGCUCUAAAUGGGAGGUAUAUCUCUUCUAAAGCUAAAUAUAGGCUAGAGACCGAUAGCGCACAAGUAGAGUGAUCGAAAGAUGAAAAGCACUUUGAAAAGAGAGUUAAACAGCACGUGAAAUUGUUGAAAGGGAAGCGCCUAUGACCAGACUUGUCUCUAUCAGUUUUGGUAGUUUUCGGACUGCUUUACUCUGUUAGUACAGGCCAACAUCAGUUUGUUGUCGGGGAGAAAGGCUUAGGGAAUGUGGCUCCUUCGGGAGUGUUAUAGCCCUUUGCAUAAUACCCUUCGGCAGACUGAGGACCGCGCUUCGGCAAGGAUGUUGGCGUAAUGGUCAUCAGCGACCCGUCUUGAAACACGGACCAAGGAGUCAACCUUAUAUGCGAGUGUUUGGGUGUAAAACCCCAGCGCGUAAUGAACGUGAACGUAGGUGAGAGCUUCGGCGCAUCAUCGACCGAUUCUGAUGUUCUCGGAUGGAUUUGAGUAAGAGCAUAUAGGGUUGGACCCGAAAGAAGGUGAACUAUGCUUGUAUAGGGUGAAGCCAGAGGAAACUCUGGUGGAGGCUCGCAGCGGUUCUGACGUGCAAAUCGAUCGUCAAAUAUGAGCAUGGGGGCGAAAGACUAAUCGAACCUUCUAGUAGCUGGUUCCAGC
rnacentral:rRNA from 1 species